rnacentral:snoRNA from 1 species
CGGCAAUGAUGAGAGGAUCUGUCCCUGCAUGGAGUGUUCAGUGCUGCGUGGAGACACCAGUCCCUCUAAACUGAGCUUGCCG